UGUAGGACCACAAAAGAAUAAUUUACAUAGGAUAUGAUGGUUAUGGAUAUAUAUAGUCCAUGUUUUGUAUUGGAAUACAAUAGUGUAUAUAGUUUUCAAUAUGGGUAUAGUAGUAUAUGUUGCUUUUGAUAUAGACAUAUAGGUUAUGGUAUUAAAAUUAGUGAACAUUGUUUUGUAGGUAGAAUCUUUAAAUGAUAGUGGAGCCAUAAUUGAAAGACAAAGUUCAUGGUAUUACAUCAGUAGCAGCAAUUAG
rnacentral:lncRNA from 1 species